rnacentral:tRNA from 5 species
GGGGCGGUAGCUCAGCUGGGAGAGCGUCGCGUUCGCAAUGCGAAGGUCGGGAGUUCGAGCCUCCUCCGCUCCACCA